GCAGCAUGGGGUUCAAUUUCCAGAGGCAGAUGGCAAAGCCUUUGUUGUUCAACGCUCUUGGAAAAGGGAAAAUCUGGAGGCAACCUCACACACAGAAUGUGCCAUGCAAAGAUGACAGAAAUUGGGGUGAUGCUUCUACAGGCCAAGGAGUGCCAAAGGCUGCCAGCUAACCACUACAAGCUAGGCUCCUCUGCCCACAGGAUUUUCUGGGAUUAGUGGAGUGGGUUCCCAUUUUCUCCUCAGAGGAUCUUCCUGACCCAGGGAUCCAACCCGCGUCUCCUGCACUGCAAGAGGAUUCUUUACCAGCGAGCUGUCAUGGAAGCCCCAAAGCAGGUAUGAGGCCUCUGUGAACCCUAAGCCCCUGCUCGUAAGAUUUAGACAGGCAUGGAAAGAGGUGAGGAGUUCAGAGUGAAGAGUGUGAUAAAGAAGCUGUGAGAUGUGAGAAGAGGAAGAUGAAAAGAGCUGGUGCCAGCACUGCAAACCCUACAGCUAAAUAGCACUGUUUGAUGAAGGUGGAGGCUGAUGAAAGAGAAAAACACUGUAAGAUCUGCAGUCCUGAGAAUGGACAGCUCCUAAACAGAGUGAAGGACAGGG